GAUUAUGUACUUGAAUCCAAAAAUAAGUAUGAUUUAGAGGAAUUUGCUUUUGAUCUUCCUAUGUAGCCAAAUGAUGAAAAACUACAAGAUGCUUGUUUAAGGACCACGGUAUACCAUUUAUCACCCUCUUUAUAUCCACCUCAUAGAAAAACUGAAAUAGAUACCAUUUCCCCCCUAAAUCUGAUAUUAUUACACCCCCUAAUGGAUGCC
rnacentral:lncRNA from 1 species